UCCGUUCUCUAUGUGUUCGCCUUAUCACCGCCACCAUAGAGGGUAAAGCCUCGCCACCACCUCCAUACCAGAUGCCACUCCUAGGCGUUGAGGUGGAUGGUACUGAUGAAGAAGAUGAAAUGGUGAUGGCGACGGGGAUAUAGUAAGAAUUGAUCUCAGAAAUGUCUGAGAUCAAAAGGGGGAAAUGUAGAAGAAUUUAUAUUAACCUGUUGUUUGCUUUUAAUAAAACAAUGUGUGCAUUGUUGAUGUAAUCAUAAUAUGCUUAUAACUAAGUGACUUUUUAUAAAACUUGCUGUGCAAUGUUAGAAAAAAACAGACUGAACUUAUGAUAUUGUUUGAAGGCCACCCGGGAAAAAACAACUCCUUAUAUGGUAGACAUCCCGGAACAGAAGUAAGACAAAAAACGAGGAAUAGAGUAGGGUAUUGUCUCUCUUUGUGUGAAUCUCUCACAGAUCCACCGCCACGAGGGCUGUCCCGCGUAGGGGAGUCAGAUAACACGAGGUGAAACAAAACAGAGAACACGUGGAGGAGCAAAACAACGAAGACAGCGGCAUGGACCGAUAAGAAGAGACUCAACCCACAUUGUAUCACUUUUUUCUAUGGAGUGAAGGGAGGGAAUAAAAAUGUAGCCUACAAUCAAAAGUCCGAAACCCACAUUUAAAAGCAAAUGUUUUGGCAUCAUCAAGUUGUCUCUCAGACCCACAGGCUACCAGCUUCACCAUGGCAUGAAGUUAUUCCUGAUGUCCUCUCUCUCCUCCGCCUACAGUUAGUUGAUUUGACAUUCAGAGAUUCACAGUAAUAUCAAAAAUGUUUGAAAUUAAAUUUGCAUUGUUUUCAAUGGGAAGCUGUUAACAUUUUUGUAGUUUGGUGGCUGUGGUGGU